rnacentral:rRNA from 1 species
UCGAGAAUCUUCGGCAAUGAGCGCAAGCUUGACCGAGCGACGCCGCGUGCGGGAUGAAGGCUUUCGGGUUGUAAACCGCUGUCAGUGGGGAGGAAAUUCUUGGGGGUACUCCCCCUUGAUUGACCGAUCCGCAGAGGAAGGACGGGCUAAGUUCGUGCCAGCAGCCGCGGUAAGACGAACCGUCCGAACGUUAUUCGGAAUCACUGGGCUUAAAGAGUGCGUAGGCGGCUUAUCAGGCGGGGUGUGAAAUCCCUCGGCCCAACCGAGGAAUUGCGCUCCGAACCGAUAGGCUUGAGGAGGAUAGAGGUAAGCGGAACAGAUGGUGGAGCGGUGAAAUGCGUUGAUAUCAUCUGGAACACCUGUGGCGAAAGCGGCUUACUGGGUCCUUUCUGACGCUGAGGCACGAAAGCUAGGGUAGCGAACG